GGACUCAUAUUGAAACCUAGUGAAGUAUGAGUUAGUGGCGGACGGGUGAGUAACGCGUGGAAAACCUGCCGUAUACUGGGGGAUAACACUUAGGAAAUAGGUGCUAAUACCGCAUAAGCGCACAGCUUCGCAUGAAGCAGUGUGAAAAACUGAGGUGGUAUACGAUGGUUCCGCGUCUGAUUAGCUAGUUGGUGGGGUAAAAGCCUACCAAGGCAACGAUCAGUAGCCGGCCUGAGAGGGUGAACGGCCACAUUGGGACUGAGACACGGCCCAAACUCCUACGGGAGGCAGCAGUGGGGAAUAUUGCACAAUGGGGGAAACCCUGAUGCAGCGACGCCGCGUGAGUGAAGAAGUAUUUCGGUAUGUAAAGCUCUAUCAGCAGGGAAGAAAUACUGACCAUAGGGUCAGCAGACGGUACUUGACUAAGAAGCCCCGGCUAACUACGUGCCAGCAGCCGCGGUAAUACGUAGGGGGCAAGCGUUAUCCGGAUUUACUGGGUGUAAAGGGAGCGUAGACGGCAGCGCAAGUCUGAAGUGAAAUGCCAGGGCUUAACCCUGGAACUGCUUUGGAAACUGUGCAGCUAGAGUGCAGGAGAGGUAAGUGGAAUUUCUAGUGUAGCGGUGAAAUGCGUAGAUAUUAGGAGGAACACCAGUGGCGAAGGCGGCUUACUGGACUGUAACUGACGUUGAGGCUCGAAAGCGUGGGGAGCAAACAGGAUUAGAUACCCUGGUAGUCCACGCUGUAAACGAUGAUUACUAGGUGUUGGGGGACCAAGGUUCUUCGGUGCCGUCGCAAACGCAAUAAGUAAUCCACCUGGGGAGUACGUUCGCAAGAAUGAAACUCAAAGGAAUUGACGGGGACCCGCACAAGCGGUGGAGCAUGUGGUUUAAUU
rnacentral:rRNA from 1 species